CGUAGGGUGCGAGCGUUAAUCGGAAUUACUGGGCGUAAAGCGUGCGCAGGCGGUUUUGUAAGACAGAUGUGAAAUCCCCGGGCUCAACCUGGGACCUGCAUUUGUGACUGCAAGGCUAGAGUACGGUAGAGGGGGAUGGAAUUCCGCGUGUAGCAGUGAAAUGCGUAGAUAUGCGGAGGAACACCGAUGGCGAAGGCAAUCCCCUGGGCCUGCACUGACGCUCAUGCACGAAAGCGUGGGGAGCAAACAGGAUUAGAUACCCUGGUAGUCCACGCCCUAAACGAUGUCAACUGGUUGUUGGGUCUCUUCUGACUCAGUAACGAAGCUAACGCGUGAAGUUGACCGCCUGGGAGUACGGCCGCAAGGUUG
rnacentral:rRNA from 1 species